GAAAAAGCAGGACAAUUUUUGCCAUCUCAAACGCGAUGAAGAGAGACUGUAAACUCUACAAAUUGCUUUGAUGUUCCGCCGUUGUCACAUUAUUUAUCCAGCAAUAUCCUCCAUUUUAAAAUAUCUCCAGCCCUCCCCCUUUUGUUGAAUUAAUAAUAAUUUAUAGCGAGAGAUUUCACUUGCAGCGUGAACCUAUCCUUCACUCUUCUUUUUCUUCCCGCGGUCACUUGUUAAAUAAUCUCUCUCUUUCUCUCUCCGUCUUAUUCUCUGUCUCUCAGUUUUGUUUGUUUCCCGCUCGCCUCAUGGGACACCCAGAGACAGACAGCCUUGCCAGAUUCAUUUUCUGAUCAAAGCUGUUUGAUUUGGUCAAUUUUGCCACAUUGGAGACGUUCUCUAUUACUGAGAUAAAUAGCCUCGGGCUAACUGUCAACGAAAACUUGUAAGCUAAUAAAUUAUUCCAAUUUCUUCCAGCUGGAUUUCUCUUGGGAGUCGGCCUCUAGGAAAUACACUUUUUGAUUAGUAAAUUUCUGCCCGUGUGUGUGUCUGUUUGGGUGUGCGAGCGUGCGCAUGUGUGUAUGUCUGGACAUUCGGAUGUGUCGUUUUUGAUUAGCGGGCAGGCUGCUGGAGUGGAAGGCGGCAGAGGGGGCUGUCAGUAGAAGGAGGCCUCUAAUGCAUUAUGCAUUGACAAGGCUUUGGAUCCUGCCACCUCCGCUGGCACGCCUGGGAGAGGAGGAGGCUGAGUCGGGCUCACCUGAGGGGCCUCUGCUCUGCUUCCCCCUCCUCGCUCCUCAGUCCUCUGCUCACACUCCUGGGGGAGAGGAAACUUUGACAGAAGCCAGCCCCCGCCGUCUUCGACACUGCUCCCCUCGGAAAACCCUCAGGGCUGCAGAACGGCAGGAGUGCUGCUGGGUAAUUACCUCUCAGCGUGCCGCACUGCUUCAUUAUGUCCUGCAACUCCAAUCCACUGAAACAUUUGUAAUUUAGUCUGGGAAGCUUCGCACAGGCCAUGCUGAGAGGAAGAUGGUUGUGUGUACAUGCUAGUGUGUGUGUGUGUGUGUGUGUGUGUGUGUGUGUGUGUGUGUGUGUGGGAGCAGCCGUGUGUGUUGGUGUCUG
rnacentral:lncRNA from 1 species